UACGUAGGGGGCAAGCGUUGUCCGGAAUCAUUGGGCGUAAAGCGCGCGUAGGUGGCCAUGUAAGUCCGCUGUGAAAGUCGAAGGCUCAACCUUCGAAAGCCGGUGGAUACUGCAUGGCUAGAGUACGGAAGAGGCGAGUGGAAUUCCUGGUGUAGCGGUGGAAUGCGCAGAUAUCAGGAGGAACACCAAUAGCGAAGGCAGCUCGCUGGGACGUUACUGACACUGAGGCGCGAAAGCGUGGGGAGCGAACAGG
rnacentral:rRNA from 1 species